rnacentral:lncRNA from 1 species
CAAAAAGAUGAGCAAGAAAAUGCGAAGCCAGGUAUACAAGAAGGACUUGAUAAAAGUUGUCCUUCAGUGCAUCUUUUUCACGUAUAACCACCACUUUGUCAGUUUCACCUGAUGACAAAUGAUGUUGAGUAUUGAGAAAACUGCAUGGGGUGUUUCGCCCAGGCCCUUCCUGCCUUCAGCGCGGGCCAGCCCCACCACAGCCGGGAGGGCAGCAUAUGCAACAACACACAAGGCCCGAGCUGAGAGUUACAUUCAGUGGAAGGAUGGGAACGGCUGCUGAGCAGGGCAGACUUGACGCCUAGCCACACAAAUUCCUGGACAAGGAGAUGACAUCUGGCGGUGAUCAGGGUUACAAGGACAAAAGGGAGGCAGGUGUGAGGCAAGGCUCUGGAGAAGCUAAUGUAAGUUGAAAGCUUGAGCAAUUAGGGCUUCAACAGCAGCUCAGGCAUCCCCAUCAGUCCUGCCCCCGGGGUUUAUAUUUCACAGCCUUCGUGGAGGGGUCAGCCUGUGACAGCAGGAUCCUUGGUCUCUUCUGGGUAAAGGAUGUUGCAGUCAUUCAUCAGAAGACUUUGGCAACUGGGUCACAUGGCAACUUCAUACCCUCUGCGUGGAAAGAGCUCAAGAAGCAGAUGGGAAGGUGAGUUGAAUCCACGAUGAGUUGCUUCAGUGCUCUCUGGGAUGUCUCAUUGGAUUUCUUCUCUUCCAGGGCCAAAUCCUCUGGGAUUAGAUCAAAACCACCUAUGACUAAGCAUCUGGCUGUUCAUCAACACCGGUGUGCAGGCCUCCCAGGGAGAUUCGCUGGAUGUCACUAAACAAUGUCACCUGUGUGCUGUGAGGCUAGAAGAAAAUUACAAUUCCCUUAUUCAAUAAGUAUUUGUUGAGUUCUAGGCAUGAUGCUCGAUUCUCAAGGCUGCAUGUUUUAAUGAAAUUCAGCCCUUGCCUGUAGGAAUCCAAGAAAGCCAAAGAAAUACAAGGAGAGCACAAUGGUAUCGAGUAGCAAUAAAAAGGAUUGGGCACUGUCUCCCCUCUCCUACAUCCUGCCCUCCUUUCUACCACAUCUGAACCUGAGGCACCAGAAAGGAAGUCCUCUGCAUCCAGAUGAUCAAAUGGUCAUGCAGCAGAGAGAGUCCUUGGACAUUCAACCACAACACCAUUUGGGGAGAAGUUCAGGAGAAAUUUCAGCAUUAAAAAAACAGUGAUUUCAACUUCCCAUAUCCACCAAAUGAGACCUUGGCUGGGUGACGUGAUUCUUUCAUUCGAAGUGGAUUCUUAGAAGAUCAGAAAUGACAUCAUUUAUAUAUAAAUAUAAAACAUACUGCAAACC